rnacentral:ncRNA from 1 species
GCCAAGAGUAGAAGCGUUCAGCGCUGCUGCCUCGGCCCCACAGGGGCCUGAAGCAGCAGGCGGGUCAUUGCUCUUGAA